rnacentral:rRNA from 1 species
GAUGAACGCUGGCGGCGUGCUUAACACAUGCAAGUCGAACGAAGCACUUUAUUUGAUUUCCUUCGGGACUGAUUAUUUUGUGACUGAGUGGCGGACGGGUGAGUAACGCGUGGGUAACCUGCCUUGUACAGGGGGAUAACAGUUGGAAACGGCUGCUAAUACCGCAUAAGCGCACAGCAUCGCAUGAUGCAGUGUGAAAAACUCCGGUGGUAUAAGAUGGACCCGCGUUGGAUUAGCUAGUUGGUGAGGUACCGGCCCACCAAGGCGACGAUCCAUAGCCGACCUGGGAGGGUGACCGGCCACAUUGGGGCUGGGACACGGCCCAAACUCCUACGGGAGGCAGCAGUGGUGAAUAUUGAACAAUGGGCGAAAGCCUGAGGCAGCGACGCCGCGUGAGCGAAGAAGUAUUUCGGUAUGAAAGGCUCUAUCAGCAGGGAAGAUAAUGACGGUACCUGACUAAGAAGCACCGGCUAAAUACGU